GUUUUGCGCUGGAAUGCCGCCUCGCCUUUUCCUGCCGCUGCGAACGAUUCGGACGGAACCCACCGGCGCGGAGAGGUGCUUUGGCACAGCGGGCAGAAUGAAUGACUCAGAGUUUGGGGGAAGCGGUCCAAAAGCGGAGCGGUGUGAAUCCGACGGGAUAUAAAGCACAGAGGCAAAGCCGUGCACGAAGGCUACGGAGGCACGCACGCACUGUAAAUACACCGCCGGUAUGUACACAGAACAGGGCAGCCCGACAGCAGCACGGUGCGCACAGGCAGACGCGAGCGCUGCUGUCGGACUGCGGUGUACACAUCUGCUCCUGGCCCAGCCGAGGCGUCCCCCGCGAAGAUCCAGCUAGGUCUGUGCAGCUCCUCAGUCAACUGAAACCACUCGUUCAAGACAGCAACAAUCCAGAUAUACUAGCAAGUCAUAAAACUGAACAAAAGCCGACAAACCUUAGAGCACCAUCGCUAUAUGGCCCAGACAAAUUACGACCGUCUAGGGGGAACCGUUGUGUGCUUAUCCCGUGUUACCAACGGUAACGCUAUUAAUCGACCAACAACAACAAAAAAUCACUAAUUCCACAUCUUUAAGCAAAACUACGUUACGUAAAUAUCUACAACCAGAAAGAGAGAGAGAAAUUCAGAGCUUGAAAGAGCGAAGCGGGCCCGGGAAAGGCUGCAGGAACCGAGGAGGCUCACACAUGGCCCUCAGCGUUAGCGUGGCUCUCUUCCGCUCCCCCCGCAGCCCCGAAGCAGCUAUUAAGAGUUUAAGGACAUACUGAGAACGUCUAAAAUCGUUAAUCCGUACAGGUGCGGAUGACUACAGCCUAGGAAAAUGAUACUGGCUCUUUAAACCAUCAAGAUGUGUUUAUAGGUUCAUCAAGAGAAAUUAAAGUUGGCUGUGAGCUCCCGAAUCCUA